rnacentral:sRNA from 1 species
AUCUGAAACCAUAGACCUAUAUAGUAGA